AGGCUUCAGAGUUCUACAUCGUAUCCUACUUACAGCCCUAAAUACCUGUUAACUGCCACCCCCUGGACAGAUUAUUACAGUGACAACAGAAAUAUAAGUCACAUAAGGAGCUGCUGAAUGCACUCAAGACUCAACAAUCUCCAAAGAUAGUGGAAGGCACGAAUGGAAAUCUGGACUCUGACAAUUGUCCUUAGCGUGUUAUCUUUUACGCCAAUGCUGGCCAAAGAGAAGGACUUAAAACGUUGUACUGAUACUUACAAGAACUUAGUUUCCACUGUUUCUUUCCACUACUUUUGCUAAAUUCAAAUUGACCAACCAAUAGCUGCUGAACUAGGACCACACCUUGCUCUUCCUGCAUCUUAUCCCAUGAGCAACACGAUUUCAGUUUCCCCAUAAUUUCCAAGAACUUGCCAGUGAAUAAUU
rnacentral:lncRNA from 1 species